rnacentral:lncRNA from 1 species
AAUAUAACCACUCCAUUAACCUAUCACAAUUUGACACAUGGCAUUUAAAAAAAUAAUUAUUCAUAUAUUUAAAAUUUGAUAAUCUAUUUGAUACUCGUGGUUGGAGUGAAUUUUUUUUCAAUAAGUAUCAAAGUAUUAUAUCAAGUAUCAAAUGAAUAUUUAAUGCUCCAUUUUGAUAUCUCCCAUUGGAGUUGCUCUAAUGAGGUCUUUACAAUAAGCAGUGGCGAAUCCAGGAUUUUUGUCAAAGGUGUUCGGAAUUAAAUAUAGUAAUAAAUGUAAAAGUUUGCGGGGGUUCGGGGGCAGCGCCCCCGAUUUUUUUUUUAAUACUAUACACAUUAAAUAAUAAAAAUAUGUAAUAUUUUCAAAUUUGAAGGGAUUAUUUUACAAAUUUUGGGCUAAUUUAGGAAAUAUUUAGACAUAAAAUUGGUGAAAAUAUUUAAGGAGUGGUAAGCAUAUUAAAGUUGCAAGUGACAAAAUGUGAAUUUCAUUAGCAAAUUUUGAUUUUUUGUUUUUUUUUAAAAAUACCCACAUAGUUGUAAAUUUAGAAAAUAAUUGUUAUAGUGCAUAUAUAUAUUAAGAAUUUUGGAAUAAUUUAGAUUAUAUAAAAUAUUAAAGGAAUGGUAAAUAAACUAAAGUUGCAAAUAGCAAAAUAUAUAUUUUAUUAGGAGAUUUUGAUUUUUCGAAAUAUUCAAAAAUAGCCACAUAUUCAAAAAAUUUGAAAACAAUUGAAAUAUUAUAUAUUAGGAGAUUUGAUUUUUUGAAAUAUUCAAAAAUACCCACAUAUUCAAAAUUUUUGAAAACAAUUGAAAUAUUAUAUGUAUUAGAAAUAAAUAAAAACAAGCAUAUGAAUAAUUUAACAAAAUAGAAGGGUGCAUAAUUUAACAAAAUAGAAGGGAAGGGUCUCAUCAAGAGUGUCGAACUCUGCACCUAUUUGAAUUUGUAGGGGAGAACUCUGCCAUUUCAGCUACAAAAUCCGAUUAGCAAAUUAUUCAUUUACAGUUAUAUAAUAUAUAAAUAUAUAGGGAAUAUUUUUUUUUUUAAAUCAAGGGUGUGCAGUUGCACACCCUAAGACUAUACUGGAUACGCCACUAACAAUAAGCCCAUCAAUGGGUACUUAUUCAUAAAUAGAUUCAGACAAAAAACUCAUUUACAAAUAAGUUCACACGUAGUCCAGAUUUUUGUAAAAGACUAAAAUAGCACUUCAUACUUUAAUAUGCUCCAAUUCAUCAUUAAUUUAAUAUAACCUCAAUUUGACCCCAAAUUUCAUAAAUUAUUCAAUUUUGACCCAAAACUCAUUUUUAUGGACAAAUUUGUCCGUUACCGCCGUUGACCGCCGAUCUUCCGCGUUGACUUUUUUUUUCUCCUGAUUUUUCAACCACCGGUUUCCGGCGUUGGCCGGCGGUGAAUUUUUCGAUUGACCGCCGGUCUUUGGGGUUGACUUUUUUUUUUCAACUUAUUUUUCAACCACCAGUUUCCGGCAUUGACUGGCGGUCAACGCCGGACUCUGGCGGUGACUUUUUCGAUUUCUUUUUUCUUUUUUCUUUUUUUCUUUCUGUAACAUUUUUUUUCUUGUUUAAACAGCAAUAUUAGUGUGAUUAAAAGUAAUAUUAACUAUAUUACUAUUAAACACAGUAAAAUUAACUAAACUACAGUUUAACACAGUAUUGCUAUAUUAAUCUCUAGCACAAUAAUAUUAACACAACAAAAGUCAUUAUUACUGUGUAAUAGAGUAAUAUUACUAUGUUGACCGUUCAACAAAUGCAAACAUAAUAAAAUGCCAAAAGAAUUAAUAUUAUUGUGAGUGAUAGUAAUAUUACUAUAACAAUAGUAAUAUUACCGUCAACCACAAUAAUAUUACAAUAAUAGCCAGUAAUAGUAUUACGUUACUCCGUGAAUAACUCAACUAAACAAAAAAAAUCCAAACAAAAUAAUAAUAUUGAUGUGGUUGACAACAAUAUUACUAUAACAACAAUAAUAUUACCGUCAACCACAGUAAUAUUAUUGUGUUUACAGUAAUAUUACAAUAAUAGAUAGUAAUAUUAUUACGUUACUCCGUGAAUAACUCAAACAAAACAAAAAAUCCAAAAAAAUAAUAAUAUUGAUGUUGUUGACAGUAAUAUUAUUGUGUUUACAUUAAUUUUACUGCCAACGACAGUAAUAUAAUUACGUUGACUUGUCAACAAAUCAAACAAAAUAAACAAAAAAAAAAAAAUAUUACGUUAAUUUACUGUCAACGGCAGAAAAAUUGCAUAAAUGUAUGGCCAACGGCAGUAUAAUUACAUUAAUUAACAGUCAUGGACAGUAUAAUUACGUUAAUUUCCUGCCAGUGACAGCACAAUUACGGUCAACGUUUAGCGGCGGACGUAAAAAAAAAUAAGUUAAAUAAGUCAACGCCAGAAACAGACGAAAAAAUCCGGAAGAGAAAAAAAAUCGAAAAGUCAACGCCGGAAUCCGGCGGCAAAAAAAUUAUUUUUGAAAAAAAAAAGUUUUUGAAAAAAAGAAGUCAAAAUUGGAUUUUUGUGGACAAAAUUGAUUAAAUUGGGGUUACAAUUAAGAAUUGGGUAUAAAGGUUGAGGGUAAUAUUGUUAUAUACAAGAAUGUUUCCUUUAUUUAUAAUAAAUAUUAAAUGGAUGGGUUUAUUGGUGAAAGAGAUAUAGCCCCUAAACCUAGAAUAAUAAAGAUACUUGGUUAGGGACUUAUACACAAAAAUCCCUAUUAUAAUUUAUGUGUAUAGAUCUAAGUCAAAAUUUCCAUGUUUUAAUAAAUUAAUAAUGUUUGUUGUGUCAAAAAUACCCUUAGCUAAAAUCAAGGGGCUCUUUGAUAUAACCCUCCAUUACUUUUUUUAAUGGGGAUAGGCCCAAAAAUAUUUUAGACCAUUUGAGAAAAGCCCAAUUCUAAUUUCAACUAUUAUGCUUUCCAGCUUUACCCCCGCCCGCCACCUCAUCACUAGGUCACGCGCUCUGCGAUUUUUUUGUUUUUUUUUUCCGUUUUUUUAAUCGACUUUGAAGCAUAGUCGAUUAAUCUUAAAUCAACUGUGCUUCAUAGUCGAUUAAGAAAUUCUUUAUUUUUUAACUUUUUUUUUUGUUUCUAAUUUUGUUUUUAAAUUUUUAUUUAUUUUUUUAAUUUUUUUUCUCUAUCAGGUUUAUUAAUGGAUAGUCGAUUAAAAAUUUAACUAUUAAAAAUAACAAAAUCACAAUUACAAAAGAAAUACAAAAUCAAUUAUAUUUAAAAAAAAAUACAAACAUUGUUAUUGAUUUAUACAUUGGAAUCAAUAAACAAAAAAUCAAAAAAAAAAAAAAAAAUAACAACUAGAGUCGGUUAACCUUAAUCGACUACUGAACAUAGUCGAUUAAGCCUUAAUCGACUAUUGAACAUAGUCGAUUAAACCACGUAGUCGAUUAAGGGCCUUGCCUGCGCGAAUUUUUUUUUUCUGCGCCGUCUUCCGCCACAAUCCACCACAAAACCCUAGAUUUGUUCUUCAUCUUCACCACGUCGUCGCCACACCACAGCAUCACCAUCCUACUUCUAUAUUCUAACACACAUUUCCCAUUUCCUCAUUUUCCACUCAUUUCAUUUCUGCUUUUUUUUUUUGCACACCAAGCCUUUCUUCUUUCUUCUUCUUCUCUUUCCCCACCGAUAACCUAGAACACCUUUCAUCCCGGCCGAAUCUAUGGCUCAGAAGAGAGACAAGGAAGAAACGGAGCUCAAAGUUCCCGAAAACAUACCGAUAUGCACCCCGCCGCAGACGAUUUCCCCUCCUCCUCCUCAGAUUCCGUUCACCAGAUCGCCGGAGAUUUCAGAUCCGAAGAUUUCGGCCGCCGCUUGUAGCCAG